rnacentral:lncRNA from 1 species
GGGAGGUUCGUCCAGAAGGAGACCUUUAAAUGUGUGGGCCAGACAACUUGCCCUCAUUUCUUUAUUUCUGAUCUAGAGCAGGCCAAGGGACAGAGCUUGAGCUGUUGCGGUGGGUGAAGGUCAUCAGGCUCUCUGGGCUCUGUGGUUGUCUGCUUUUCCAGCUCUGCUGGGGACUUCGCCGCUGUUUUCGGAGAAGGAAAGCACUGACUCCAGGAUCUGUAAGCCUGCUCCACAGUGGGAGAUCGAAGGGAGACGAACACAGGAAGAUGUUCACAGCGGACAGAGAACUUGGGACUGGGAACACUUUUUAUACACACACACAGGAGGAGGGGAUGACGAGACACACCUGGGAGCAAUGAACCAUCAUGGGGAACACCUGGGACAAAUUAAACAUGGGAAAGGAACACCUGGGGAGCAAGACACAGACAAAACAUGGAACAGAGUCUGACAAUAUCAUAAGUAUAACAAUAUUUAUGAGGGACACAAAUGACAGCCAUUUUGUGGAAUGACCCUCCUCGUUUAAAGUUGGGAGACCUGCGUGACAAGCUGGCCCUUGGCAAGCUGACUAACAUAUCAUUCCUGGUUGUCAACGAGCAGGAUGCUCAGUCCAGAGCCAUGUACUGGGAGCUGAAGAGGAGGACGGCAGAGGGCAUCCCUGUGUAUCAACAGAGCCCACUGCAAAACGACGUCUGGGACAUCUUGGAGGGAGACAAGGAUGAUUUCUUAGUUUAUGACAGAUGUGGAUAUCUCACCUUCCACAUUGCCCUGCCCUUCAGUUUCCUUCACUUCCCUUAUAUAGAAGCUGCCAUCAGGUCUACAUACCACAAAAAUAUAUGCAACUGCUCAUUAAAUGCAAACUUCUCCAUAUCAGAAGGCUUUGAAAACAACAAAAAUGAUACAAAUGAGCCUACCGAAGAGAGCAAGACUAGCAAUACAGAGCCUGUAACUGUUGAGCAUCAUCACCGUCAACAUGAGGAUCAUCAUCAUCAUCACCAACAUGUGCAUUCAGAUUCAGAUGGGCCAAUCCAGCAUUCACAUCAAGAACAUAGUCAUUAA